CAGUCGAGCGCGAAUGGAGCAAUCCUAGUAGAGCGGCGCACGGGUGCGUAACACGUGGAUAAUCUGCCUGGGUGUCUGGGAUAACCAGUCGAAAGAUUGGCUAAUACCGGAUAAGCCCCCGGGAGCUUCGGCUCCUGAGGGAAAAGGUGGCCUCUGUAUACAAGCUAUCACAUCCAGAUGAGUCCGCGGCCCAUCAGCUAGUUGGCGGGGUAAUGGCCCACCAAGGCAACGACGGGUAGCUGGUCUGAGAGGACGAUCAGCCACACUGGAACUGAGACACGGUCCAGACUCCUACGGGAGGCAGCAGUGGGGAAUUUUGCGCAAUGGGCGAAAGCCUGACGCAGCAACGCCGCGUGUGUGAUGAAGGUCUUCGGAUUGUAAAGCACUUUCGACCGGGACGAAAACCCGUUGGCUAACAUCCAACGGCUUGACGGUACCGGGAGAAGAAGCACCGGCUAACUCUGUGCCAGCAGCCGCGGUAAUACAGAGGGUGCAAGCGUUGUUCGGAAUUAUUGGGCGUAAAGCGCGUGUAGGCGGCUUUGCAAGUCGGGUGUGAAAGCCCUCAGCUCAACUGAGGAAGUGCGCCCGAAACUGCAGAGCUUGAGUGCCGGAGAGGGUGGCGGAAUUCCCC
rnacentral:rRNA from 1 species